GGUGCAUGGAUGAGCCUCCGUUUUCAAAGCCUCUCCAAACUCAUUAGUUUCAGCAUCAGGAUGUCCUUGAAACUGCAGAAGGCCCCUAGUCUGUGGAAAGACUCGAUAAUUGUACUGGUCCCAAUAUUGAAAGUUUCAAAGUCACUUAACUAUUUCCAACCAAUGGCUUUGACAUCACUUGUUAUGAAGGUAUUUGAGAAAUUGUUAAAGGAAAUGUUGACGCAGGACAAAAUGGACCCCCUCUAGUUUGCUUUUAGGCCAAACGGAGGUGUAAAGGAUGCACUAUGGACACUUAUAAACUUGGUUUUUAAAUAUCUUGAGGGAACUACAUGCCUGGAUUUUUUAUUCCUGUUUUACUAAACAUGUUUUUACCUUUGCUUUUAUUUGUUAGUACGCAUCACUUUUUCACACAUAAGAAUGGCCUGCAAAAUAUUGUCAAGGUUUGCAUUAAAAUUGCUGGCAUAUUUCUUAAUGAACUGAGUGACCUUCAUUAUUUCACCUCCUUAAAGAAAGCUAGGAUCAUUUUGGCUGAUCAUAGCCAUCCUCUAUGGGCAGAAUUCUCCCUUUGACCAUCAGGACAGAGAUACAAAAUGACAUAUUGUAAGACGAACAAACUAUAAAAAUCCUUUAUCCCCACUGUUAUUAGCCUGGACAAUUCCAGGCCAACAUUUUAAGGACAGUUGUUUUUGUGUGUGUGGCUGUUUUUUAAGUUUUCACUGCUGUCUGCACUACAAGUUUCCCUUGGGGACAAUAAAGUUUACUUGACUUUAGGCACUA